GAUGAACGCUGGCGGCGUGCCUAAUACAUGCAAGUCGAGCGAACAGACGAGGAUCUUGCUCCUCUGACGUUAGCGGCGGACGGGUGAGUAACACGUGUAUAACCUCCCUAUAUGACUGGUAUCACUUCGGGACACCGGAGCUUAUACCGGAUAAUAUAUUGAACCGCAUGGUUCAAUAGUGAAAUACGGUUUUGGUGUCACUUAUAGAUGGAUCCGCGCCGGAUGAGCUAGUUGUUAAGUUAACGGCUUAUCAAGGCAACGAUGCGUAGCCGACCGGACAGGGUGAUCGGCCACACUGGAGCUGAGACACGGUCCAGGCUCCUACGGGAGGCAGCAGUAGGGAAUCGGCCGCAAUGGGCGAAAGCCUGACGGAGCAACGCCGAGUGAGUGAUGAAGGUCUUCGGAUCGUAAAACUCUGUUAUUAGGGAAAAACAAAUGUGUAAGUAACUAUGCACGUAUUGACGGUACCUAAUCAGAAAGCCACGGCUAACUACGUG
rnacentral:rRNA from 1 species